UAUUGGGAACAUUUUGCAUCCAU
rnacentral:miRNA from 12 species